rnacentral:rRNA from 1 species
AAUGAACGCUGGCGGCGUGCUUUACACAUGCAAGUCGAGCGAGGCGUGUAGCAAUACACAGUCGAGCGGCGAACGGGUGAGUAACGCGUGGAUGACCUGCCCUUCAGCGGGGAAUAACCCGGGGAAACUCGGGCUAAUACCGCAUACGACCGAGAGGUGAAAGCGGGGUCGCAAGAUCUCGUACUGAAGGAGGGGUCCGCGUCCGAUUAGCUAGUUGGUAGGGUAAAGGCCUACCAAGGCGACGAUCGGUAGCCGGCCUGAGAGGGUGAUCGGCCACACUGGAACUGAGACACGGUCCAGACUCCUACGGGAGGCAGCAGUGGGGAAUUUUGCGCAAUGGGCUAACGCCUGACGCAGCAACGCCGCGUGGAGGAUGAAGGUCUUUGGAUUGUGAACUCCUGUCAGCAGGGAAAAAGCAACUUGACCUAAUACGUCAGGGAGUUGAUUGUACCUGCAGAGGAAGCCCCGGCUAACUCUGUGC